GACGAACGCUGGCGGCGUGCUUAACACAUGCAAGUCGAACGGAAAGGCCCUGCUUUUGUGGGGUGCUCGAGUGGCGAACGGGUGAGUAACACGUGAGUAACCUGCCCUUGACUUUGGGAUAACUUCAGGAAACUGGGGCUAAUACCGGAUAGGAGCUCCUGCUGCAUGGUGGGGGUUGGAAAGUUUCGGCGGUUGGGGAUGGACUCGCGGCUUAUCAGCUUGUUGGUGGGGUAGUGGCUUACCAAGGCUUUGACGGGUAGCCGGCCUGAGAGGGUGACCGGCCACAUUGGGACUGAGAGACGGCCCAGACUCGUACGGGAGGCAGAAGGGGGGAAUAUUGCACAAUGGGCGGAAGCCUGAUGCAGCAACGCCGCGUGCGGGAUGACGGCCUUCGGGUUGUAAACCGCUUUCGCCUGUGACGAAGCGUGAGUGACGGUAAUGGGUAAAGAAGCACCGGCUAACUACGUG
rnacentral:rRNA from 1 species